CAUAGCUCCUUCGACGGCGCCGCCUAGGAACGCGGAGAAAAUAUGACAAAGGAACGGCCAAAAAUAAAAAGAAAGACCUUUCUUUUGAAAAAACAAACAAAAAAAAGAAAUGCAACACGAGGACUUCCCAGGAGGUCACCCAUCCUAGUACUACUCUCGCCCAAGCACGCUUAACUUCGGAGUUCUGAUGGGAUCCGGUGCUUUAGUGCUGGUAUGAUCGCAUCCGACAUACCGUGCGUUCUCCUCCCCUUUAUGCCCGCGCCUCCGUGUACGGCCCGCCCAUAGCUCCUUCGACGGCGCCGCCUAGGAACGCGGAGAAAAUAUGACAAAGGAACGGCCAAAAAUAAAAAGAAAGACCUUUCUUUGAAAAAACAAACAAUUCACAGGAAUGCAACACGAGGACUUCCCACGAGGUCACCCAUCCUAGUACUACUCUCGCCCAAGCACGCUUAACUUCGGAGUUCUGAUGGGAUCCGGUGCUUUAGUGCUGGUAUGAUCGCAUCCGACAUACCGUGCGUUCUCCUCCCCUUUAUGCCCGCGCCUCCGUGUACGGCCCGCCCAUAGCUCCUUCGACGGCGCCGCCUAGGAACGCGGAGAAAAUAUGACAAAGGAACGGCCAAAAAUAAAAAGAAAGACCUUUCUUUUGAAAAAACAAACCAAAAAAAAGGAAUGCAACACGAGGACUUCCCAAGAGGUCACCCAUCCUAGUACUACUCUCGCCCAAGCACGCUUAACUUCGGAGUUCUGAUGGGAUCCGGUGCUUUAGUGCUGGUAUGAUCGCAUCCGACAUACCGUGCGUUCUCCUCCCCAUUAUGCCCGCGCCUCCGUGUACGGCCCGCCCAUAGCUCCUUUGACGGCGCCGCUUAGGAACGCGGAGAAAAUAUGACAAAGGAACGGCCAAAAAUAAAAAGAAAGACCUUUCUUUUGAAAAAACAAACAAAUAAAAGGAAUGCAACACGAGGACUUCCCAGGAGGUCACCCAUCCUAGUACUACUCUCGCCCAAGCACGCUUAACUUCGGAGUUCUGAUGGGAUCCGGUGCUUUAGUGCUGGUAUGAUCGCAUCCGACAUACCGUGCGUUCUCCUCCCCUUUAUGCCCGCGCCUCCGUGUACGGCCCGCCCAUAGCUCCUUCGACGGCGCCGCCUAGGAACGCGGAGAAAAUAUGACAAAGGAACGGCCAAAAACAAAAAGAAAGACCUUUCUUUUGAAAAAACAAACAAAAAAAAGGAAUGCAACACGAGGACUUCCCAGGAGGUCACCCAUCCUAGUACUACUCUCGCCCAAGCACGCUUAACUUCGGAGUUCUGAUGGGAUCCGGUGCUUUAGUGCUGGUAUGAUCGCAUCCGACAUACCGUGCGUUCUCCUCCCCUUUAUGCCCGCGCCUCCGUGUACGGCCCGCCCAUAGCUCCUUCGACGGCGCCGCCUAGGAACGCGGAGAAAAUAUGACAAAGGAACGGCCAAAAAUAAAAAGAAAGACCUUUCUUUUGAAAAAACAAACAAAUAAAAGGAAUGCAACACGAGGACUUCCCAGGAGGUCACCCAUCCUAGUACUACUCUCGCCCAAGCACGCUUAACUUCGGAGUUCUGAUGGGAUCCGGUGCUUUAGUGCUGGUAUGAUCGCAUCCGACAUACCGUGCGUUCUCCUCCCCUUUAUGCCCGCGCCUCCGUGUACGGCCCGCCCAUAGCUCCUUCGACGGCGCCGCCUAGGAACGCGGAGAAAAUAUGACAAAGGAACGGCCAAAAAUAAAAAGAAAGACCUUUCUUUUGAAAAAACAAACAAAUAAAAGGAAUGCAACACGAGGACUUCCCAGGAGAUCACCCAUCCUAGUACUACUCUCGCCCAAGCACGCUUAACUUCGGAGUUCUGAUGGGAUCCGGUGCUUUAGUGCUGGUAUGAUCGCAUCCGACAUACCGUGCGUUCUCCUCCCCUUUAUGCCCGCGCCUCCGUGUACGGCCCGCCCAUAGCUCCUUCGACGGCGCCGCCUAGGAACGCGGAGAAAAUAUGACAAAGGAACGGCCAAAAAUAAAAAGAAAGACCUUUCUUUUGAAAAAACAAACAAAAAAAAGGAAUGCAACACGAGGACUUCCCACGAGGUCACCCAUCCUAGUACUACUCUAGUACCAAGCACGCUUAACUUCGGAGUUCUGAUGGGAUCCGGUGCUUUAGUGCUGGUAUGAUCGCAUCCGACAUACCGUGCGUUCUCCUCCCCUUUAUGCCCGCGCCUCCGUGUACGGCCCGCCCAUAGCUCCUUCGACGGCGCCGCCUAGGAACGCGGAGAAAAUAUGACAAAGGAACGGCCAAAAAUAAAAAGAAAGACCUUUCUUUUGAAAAAACAAACAAAAAAAAGGAAUGCAACACGAGGACUUCCCAGGAGGUCACCCAUCCUAGUACUACUCUCGCCCAAGCACGCUUAACUUCGGAGUUCUGAUGGGAUCCGGUGCUUUAGUGCUGGUAUGAUCGCAUCCGACAUACCGUGCGUUCUCCUCCCCUUUAUGCCCGCGCCUCCGUGUACGGCCCGCCCAUAGCUCCUUCGACGGCGCCGCCUAGGAACGCGGAGAAAAUAUGACAAAGGAACGGCCAAAAAUAAAAAGAAAGACCUUUCUUUUGAAAAAACAAACAAAUAAAAGGAAUGCAACACGAGGACUUCCCAGGAGGUCACCCAUCCUAGUACUACUCUCGCCCAAGCACGCUUAACUUCGGAGUUCUGAUGGGAUCCGGUGCUUUAGUGCUGGUAUGAUCGCAUCCGACAUACCGUGCGUUCUCCUCCCCUUUAUGCCCGCGCCUCCGUGUACGGCCCGCCCAUAGCUCCUUCGACGGCGCCGCCUAGGAACGCGGAGAAAAUAUGACAAAGGAACGGCCAAAAAUAAAAAGAAAGACCUUUCUUUUGAAAAAACAAACAAAAAAAAGGAAUGCAACACGAGGACUUCCCAGGAGGUCACCCAUCCUAGUACUACUCUCGCCCAAGCACGCUUAACUUCGGAGUUCUGAUGGGAUCCGGUGCUUUAGUGCUGGUAUGAUCGCAUCCGACAUACCGUGCGUUCUCCUCCCCUUUAUGCCCGCGCCUCCGUGUACGGCCCGCCCAUAGCUCCUUCGACGGCGCCGCCUAGGAACGCGGAGAAAAUAUGACAAAGGAACGGCCAAAAAUAAAAAGAAAGACCUUUCUUUUGAAAAAACAAACAAAAAAAAGGAAUGCAACACGAGGACUUCCCAGGAGGUCACCCAUCCUAGUACUACUCUCGCCCAAGCACGCUUAACUUCGGAGUUCUGAUGGGAUCCGGUGCUUUAGUGCUGGUAUGAUCGCAUCCGACAUACCGUGCGUUCUCCUCCCCUUUAUGCCCGCGCCUCCGUGUACGGCCCGCCCAUAGCUCCUUCGACGGCGCCGCCUAGGAACGCGGAGAAAAUAUGACAAAGGAACGGCCAAAAAUAAAAAGAAAGACCUUUCUUUUGAAAAAACAAACAAAUAAAAGGAAUGCAACACAAGGACUUCCCAGGAGGUCACCCAUCCUAGUACUACUCUCGCCCAAGCACGCUUAACUUCGGAGUUCUGAUGGGAUCCGGUGCUUUAGUGCUGGUAUGAUCGCAUCCGACAUACCGUGCGUUCUCCUCCCCUUUAUGCCCGCGCCUCCGUGUACGGCCCGCCCAUAGCUCCUUCGACGGCGCCGCCUAGGAACGCGGAGAAAAUAUGACAAAGGAACGGCCAAAAAUAAAAAGAAAGACCUUUCUUUUGAAAAAACAAACGCCUCCGUGUACGGCCCGCCCAUAGCUCCUUCGACGGCGCCGCCUAGGAACGCGGAGAAAAUAUGACAAAGGAACGGCCAAAAAUAAAAAGAAAGACCUUUCUUUUGAAAAAACAAACAAAAAAAAGGAAUGCAACACGAGGACUUCCCAGGAGGUCACCCAUCCUAGUACUACUCUCGCCCAAGCACGCUUAACUUCGGAGUUCUGAUGGGAUCCGGUGCUUUAGUGCUGGUAUGAUCGCAUCCGACAUACCGUGCGUUCUCCUCCCCUUUAUGCCCGCGCCUCCGUGUACGGCCCGCCCAUAGCUCCUUCGACGGCGCCGCCUAGGAACGCGGAGAAAAUAUGACAAAGGAACGGCCAAAAAUAAAAAGAAAGACCUUUCUUUUGAAAAAACAAACGCCUCCGUGUACGGCCCGCCCAUAGCUCCUUCGACGGCGCCGCCUAGGAACGCGGAGAAAAUAUGACAAAGGAACGGCCAAAAAUAAAAAGAAAGACCUUUCUUUUGAAAAAACAAACAAAAAAAAGGAAUGCAACACGAGGACUUCCCAGGAGGUCACCCAUCCUAGUACUACUCUCGCCCAAGCACGCUUAACUUCGGAGUUCUGAUGGGAUCCGGUGCUUUAGUGCUGGUAUGAUCGCAUCCGACAUACCGUGCGUUCUCCUCCCCUUUAUGCCCGCGCCUCCGUGUACGGCCCGCCCAUAGCUCCUUCGACGGCGCCGCCUAGGAACGCGGAGAAAAUAUGACAAAGGAACGGCCAAAAAUAAAAAGAAAGACCUUUCUUUUGAAAAAACAAACAAAUAAAAGGAAUGCAACACGAGGACUUCCCAGGAGGUCACCCAUCCUAGUACUACUCUCGCCCAAGCACGCUUAACUUCGGAGUUCUGAUGGGAUCCGGUGCUUUAGUGCUGGUAUGAUCGCAUCCGACAUACCGUGCGUUCUCCUCCCCUUUAUGCCCGCGCCUCCGUGUACGGCCCGCCCAUAGCUCCUUCGACGGCGCCGCCUAGGAACGCGGAGAAAAUAUGACAAAGGAACGGCCAAAAAUAAAAAGAAAGACCUUUCUUUUGAAAAAACAAACAAAAAAAAAGGAAUGCAACACGAGGACUUCCCAGGAGGUCACCCAUCCUAGUACUACUCUCGCCCAAGCACGCUUAACUUCGGAGUUCUGAUGGGAUCCGGUGCUUUAGUGCUGGUAUGAUCGCAUCCGACAUACCGUGCGUUCUCCUCCCCUUUAUGCCCGCGCCUCCGUGUACGGCCCGCCCAUAGCUCCUUCGACGGCGCCGCCUAGGAACGCGGAGAAAAUAUGACAAAGGAACGGCCAAAAAUAAAAAGAAAGACCUUUCUUUUGAAAAAACAAACAAAAAAAAGGAAUGCAACACGAGGACUUCCCAGGAGGUCACCCAUCCUAGUACUACUCUCGCCCAAGCACGCUUAACUUCGGAGUUCUGAUGGGAUCCGGUGCUUUAGUGCUGGUAUGAUCGCAUCCGACAUACCGUGCGUUCUCCUCCCCUUUAUGCCCGCGCCUCCGUGUACGGCCCGCCCAUAGCUCCUUCGACGGCGCCGCCUAGGAACGCGGAGAAAAUAUGACAAAGGAACGGCCAAAAAUAAAAAGAAAGACCUUUCUUUUGAAAAAACAAACAAAAAAAAGGAAUGCAACACGAGGACUUCCCAGGAGGUCACCCAUCCUAGUACUACUCUCGCCCAAGCACGCUUAACUUCGGAGUUCUGAUGGGAUCCGGUGCUCUAGUGCUGGUAUGAUCGCAUCCGACAUACCGUGCGUUCUCCUCCCCUUUAUGCCCGCGCCUCCGUGUACGGCCCGCCCAUAGCUCCUUCGACGGCGCCGCCUAGGAACGCGGAGAAAAUAUGACAAAGGAACGGCCAAAAAUAAAAAGAAAGACCUUUCUUUUGAAAAAACAAACAAAAAAAAAGGAAUGCAACACGAGGACUUCCCAGGAGGUCACCCAUCCUAGUACUACUCUCGCCCAAGCACGCUUAACUUCGGAGUUCUGAUGGGAUCCGGUGCUUUAGUGCUGGUAUGAUCGCAUCCGACAUACCGUGCGUUCUCCUCCCCUUUAUGCCCGCGCCUCCGUGUACGGCCCGCCCAUAGCUCCUUCGACGGCGCCGCCUAGGAACGCGGAGAAAAUAUGACAAAGGAACGGCCAAAAAUAAAAAGAAAGACCUUUCUUUUGAAAAAACAAACAAAUAAAAGGAAUGCAACACGAGGACUUCCUAGGAGGUCACCCAUCCUAGUACUACUCUCGCCCAAGCACGCUUAACUUCGGAGUUCUAAUGGGAUCCGGUGCUUUAGUGCUGGUAUGAUCGCAUCCGACAUACCGUGCGUUCUCCUCCCCUUUAUGCCCGCGCCUCCGUGUACGGCCCGCCCAUAGCUCCUUCGACGGCGCCGCCUAGGAACGCGGAGAAAAUAUGACAAAGGAACGGCCAAAAAUAAAAAGAAAGACCUUUCUUUUGAAAAAACAAACAAAAAAAAGGAAUGCAACACGAGGACUUCCCAGGAGGUCACCCAUCCUAGUACUACUCUCGCCCAAGCACGCUUAACUUCGGAGUUCUGAUGGGAUCCGGUGCUUUAGUGCUGGUAUGAUCGCAUCCGACAUACCGUGCGUUCUCCUCCCCUUUAUGCCCGCGCCUCCGUGUACGGCCCGCCCAUAGCUCCUUCGACGGCGCCGCCUAGGAACGCGGAGAAAAUAUGACAAAGGAACGGCCAAAAAUAAAAAGAAAGACCUUUCUUUUGAAAAAACAAACAAAAAAAAGGAAUGCAACACGAGGACUUCCCAGGAGGUCACCCAUCCUAGUACUACUCUCGCCCAAGCACGCUUAACUUCGGAGUUCUGAUGGGAUCCGGUGCUUUAGUGCUGGUAUGAUCGCAUCCGACAUACCGUGCGUUCUCCUCCCCUUUAUGCCCGCGCCUCCGUGUACGGCCCGCCCAUAGCUCCUUCGACGGCGCCGCCUAGGAACGCGGAGAAAAUAUGACAAAGGAACGGCCAAAAAUAAAAAGAAAGACCUUUCUUUUGAAAAAACAAACAAAAAAAAGGAAUGCAACACGAGGACUUCCCAGGAGGUCACCCAUCCUAGUACUACUCUCGCCCAAGCACGCUUAACUUCGGAGUUCUGAUGGGAUCCGGUGCUUUAGUGCUGGUAUGAUCGAAUCCGACAUACCGUGCGUUCUCCUCCCCUUUAUGCCCGCGCCUCCGUGUACGGUCCGCCCAUAGCUCCUUCGACGGCGCCGCCUAGGAACGCGGAGAAAAUAUGACAAAGGAACGGCCAAAAAUAAAAAGAAAGACCUUUCUUUUGAAAAAACAAACAAAUAAAAGGAAUGCAACACGAGGACUUCCCAGGAGGUCACCCAUCCUAGUACUACUCUCGCCCAAGCACGCUUAACUUCGGAGUUCUGAUGGGAUCCGGUGCUUUAGUGCUGGUAUGAUCGCAUCCGACAUACCGUGCGUUCUCCUCCCCUUUAUGCCCGCGCCUCCGUGUACGGCCCGCCCAUAGCUCCUUCGACGGCGCCGCCUAGGAACGCGGAGAAAAUAUGACAAAGGAACGGCCAAAAAUAAAAAGAAAGACCUUUCUUUUGAAAAAACAAACAAAUAAAAGGAAUGCAACACGAGGACUUCCCAGGAGGUCACCCAUCCUAGUACUACUCUCGCCCAAGCACGCUUAACUUCGGAGUUCUGAUGGGAUCCGGUGCUUUAGUGCUGGUAUGAUCGCAUCCGACAUACCGUGCGUUCUCCUCCCCUUUAUGCCCGCGCCUCCGUGUACGGCCCGCCCAUAGCUCCUUCGACGGCGCCGCCUAGGAACGCGGAGAAAAUAUGACAAAGGAACGGCCAAAAAUAAAAAGAAAGACCUUUCUUUUGAAAAAACAAACAAAAAAAAGGAAUGCAGCACCAGGACUUCCCGGAAGGUCACCCAUCCAAAUACAACUCUCGCCGAACCACGUUUAACUUCGAAUUUCUAAUGGAAUCCGGGGCUUUAGAGCUGGAAUGAUCGCAUCCGACAUACCGUGCGUUCUCCUCCCCUUUAUGCCCGCGCCUCCGUGUACGGCCCGCCCAUAGCUCCUUCGACGGCGCCGCCUAGGAACGCGGAGAAAAUAUGACAAAGGAGCGGCCAAAAAUAAAAAGAAAGACCUUUCUUUUGAAAAAACAAACAAAUAAAAGGAAUGCAACACGAGGACUUCCUAGGAGGUCACCCAUCCUAGUACUACUCUCGCCCAAGCACGCUUAACUUCGGAGUUCUGAUGGGAUCCGGUGCUUUAGUGCUGGUAUGAUCGCAUCCGACAUACCGUGCGUUCUCCUCCCCUUUAUGCCCGCGCCUCCGUGUACGGCCCGCCCAUAGCUCCUUCGACGGCGCCGCCUAGGAACGCGGAGAAAAUAUGACAAAGGAACGGCCAAAAAUAAAAAGAAAGACCUUUCUUUUGAAAAAACAAACGCCUCCGUGUACGGCCCGCCCAUAGCUCCUUCGACGGCGCCGCCUAGGAACGCGGAGAAAAUAUGACAAAGGAACGGCCAAAAAUAAAAAGAAAGACCUUUCUUUUGAAAAAACAAACAAAAAAAAGGAAUGCAACACGAGGACUUCCCAGGAGGUCACCCAUCCUAGUACUACUCUCGCCCAAGCACGCUUAACUUCGGAGUUCUGAUGGGAUCCGGUGCUUUAGUGCUGGUAUGAUCGCAUCCGACAUACCGUGCGUUCUCCUCCCCUUUAUGCCCGCGCCUCCGUGUACGGCCCGCCCAUAGCUCCUUCGACGGCGCCGCCUAGGAACGCGGAGAAAAUAUGACAAAGGAACGGCCAAAAAUAAAAAGAAAGACCUUUCUUUUGAAAAAACAAACAAAUAAAAGGAAUGCAACACGAGGACUUCCCAGGAGGUCACCCAUCCUAGUACUACUCUCGCCCAAGCACGCUUAACUUCGGAGUUCUGAUGGGAUCCGGUGCUUUAGUGCUGGUAUGAUCGCAUUCGACAUACCGAUGCGUUCUCAUCCCCGUUAUGCGCCGCGCCUCUGUGUACGGCCCGCCCAUAGCUCCUUUGACUGCGCCUCGUAGGAUCGCGGAGAAUAUAUGACAAAGGCACGGCCAAACAUAAAACGAAAGACCUCUCUUUUGCAACAACAAACAAAAUAAAGGAAUGCAACACGAGGACUUCCCAGGAGGUCACCCAUCCUAGUACUAGUCUCGCUCAAGCACGCUGAUCUUCGGAGUUCUGAUGGGAUCCGGUGCUUUAGUGCUGGUAUGAUCGCAUCCGACAUACCGUGCGUUCUCCUCCCCUUUAUGCCCGCGCCUCCGUGUACGGCCCGCCCAUAGCUCCUUCGACGGCGCCGCCUAGGAACGCGGAGAAAAUAUGACAAAGGAACGGCCAAAAAUAAAAAGAAAGACCUUUCUUUUGAAAAAACAAACAAAAAAAAGGAAUGCAACACGAGGACUUCCCAGGAGGUCACCCAUCCUAGUACUACUCUCGCCCAAGCACGCUUAACUUCGGAGUUCUGAUGGGAUCCGGUGCUUUAGUGCUGGUAUGAUCGCAUCCGACAUACCGUGCGUUCUCCUCCCCUUUAUGCCCGCGCCUCCGUGUACGGCCCGCCCAUAGCUCCUUCGACGGCGCCGCCUAGGAACGCGGAGAAAAUAUGACAAAGGAACGGCCAAAAAUAAAAAGAAAGACCUUUCUUUUGAAAAAACAAACAAAUAAAAGGAAUGCAACACGAGGACUUCCCAGGAGGUCACCCAUCCUAGUACUACUCUCGCCCAAGCACGCUUAACUUCGGAGUUCUGAUGGGAUCCGGUGCUUUAGUGCUGGUAUGAUCGCAUCCGACAUACCGUGCGUUCUCCUCCCCUUUAUGCCCGCGCCUCCGUGUACGGCCCGCCCAUAGCUCCUUCGACGAGCCCGCCUAGGAACGCGGAGAAAAUAUGACAAAGGAACGGCCAAAAAUAAAAAGAAAGACCUUUCUUUUGAAAAAACAAACAAAUAAAAGGAAUGCAACACGAGGACUUCCCAGGAGGUCACCCAUCCUAGUACUACUCUCGCCCAAGCACGCUUAACUUCGGAGUUCUGAUGGGAUCCGGUGCUUUAGUGCUGGUAUGAUCGCAUCCGACAUACCGUGCGUUCUCCUCCCCUUUAUGCCCGCGCCUCCGUGUACGGCCCGCCCAUAGCUCCUUCGACGGCGCCGCCUAGGAACGCGGAGAAAAUAUGACAAAGGAACGGCCAAAAAUAAAAAGAAAGACCUUUCUUUUGAAAAAACAAACAAAAAAAAGGAAUGCAACACGAGGACUUCCCAGGAGGUCACCCAUCCUAGUACUACUCUCGCCCAAGCACGCUUAACUUCGGAGUUCUGAUGGGAUCCGGUGCUUUAGUGCUGGUAUGAUCGCAUCCGACAUACCGUGCGUUCUCCUCCCCUUUAUGCCCGCGCCUCCGUGUACGGCCCGCCCAUAGCUCCUUCGACGGCGCCGCCUAGGAACGCGGAGAAAAUAUGACAAAGGAACGGCCAAAAAUAAAAAGAAAGACCUUUCUUUUGAAAAAACAAACAAAUAAAAGGAAUGCAACACGAGGACUUCCCAGGAGGUCACCCAUCCUAGUACUACUCUCGCCCAAGCACGCUUAACUUCGGAGUUCUGAUGGGAUCCGGUGCUUUAGUGCUGGUAUGAUCGCAUCCGACAUACCGUGCGUUCUCCUCCCCUUUAUGCCCGCGCCUCCGUGUACGGCCCGCCCAUAGCUCCUUCGACGGCGCCGCCUAGGAACGCGGAGAAAAUAUGACAAAGGAACGGCCAAAAAUAAAAAGAAAGACCUUUCUUUUGAAAAAACAAACAAAUAAAAGGAAUGCAACACGAGGACUUCCCAGGAGGUCACCCAUCCUAGUACUACUCUCGCCCAAGCACGCUUAACUUCGGAGUUCUGAUGGGAUCCGGUGCUUUAGUGCUGGUAUGAUCGCAUCCGACAUACCGUGCGUUCUCCUCCCCUUUAUGCCCGCGCCUCCGUGUACGGUCCGCCCAUAGCUCUUUAGUUGGCGCCUCCUAGGAACGCGGAGAAAAUAUGACAAAGGAACGGCCAAAAAUAAAAAGAAAGACCUUUCUUUUGAAAAAACAAACGCCUCCGUGUACGGCCCGCCCAUAGCUCCUUCGACGGCGCCGCCUAGGAACGCGGAGAAAAUAUGACAAAGGAACGGCCAAAAAUAAAAAGAAAGACCUUUCUUUUGAAAAAACAAACAAAAAAAAGGAAUGCAACACGAGGACUUCCCAGGAGGUCACCCAUCCUAGUACUACUCUCGCCCAAGCACGCUUAACUUCGGAGUUCUGAUGGGAUCCGGUGCUUUAGUGCUGGUAUGAUCGCAUCCGACAUACCGUGCGUUCUCCUCCCCUUUAUGCCCGCGCCUCCGUGUACGGCCCGCCCAUAGCUCCUUCGACGGCGCCGCCUAGGAACGCGGAGAAAAUAUGACAAAGGAACGGCCAAAAAUAAAAAGAAAGACCUUUCUUUUGAAAAAACAAACAAAUAAAAGGAAUGCAACACGAGGAGUUCCCAGGAGGUCACCCAUCCUAGUACUACUCUCGCCCAAGCACGCUUAACUUCGGAGUUCUGAUGGGAUCCGGUGCUUUAGUGCUGGUAUGAUCGCAUCCGACAUACCGUGCGUUCUCCUCCCCUUUAUGCCCGCGCCUCCGUGUACGGCCCGCCCAUAGCUCCUUCGAUGGCGCCGCCUAGGAACGCGGAGAAAAUAUGACAAAGGAACGGCCAAAAAUAAAAAGAAAGACCUUUCUUUUGAAAAAACAAACGCCUCCGUGUACGGCCCGCCCAUAGCUCCUUCGACGGCGCCGCCUAGGAACGCGGAGAAAAUAUGACAAAGGAACGGCCAAAAAUAAAAAGAAAGACCUUUCUUUUGAAAAAACAAACAAAAAAAAGGAAUGCAACACGAGGACUUCCCAGGAGGUCACCCAUCCUAGUACUACUCUCGCCCAAGCACGCUUAACUUCGGAGUUCGGAUGGGAUCCGGUGCUUUAGUGCUGGUAUGAUCGCAUCCGACAUACCGUGCGUUCUCCUCCCCUUUAUGCCCGCGCCUCCGUGUACGGCCCGCCCAUAGCUCCUUCGACGGCGCCGCCUAGGAACGCGGAGAAAAUAUGACAAAGGAACGGCCAAAAAUAAAAAGAAAGACCUUUCUUUUGAAAAAACAAACAAAUAAAAGGAAUGCAACACGAGGACUUCCCAGGAGGUCACCCAUCCUAGUACUACUCUCGCCCAAGCACGCUUAACUUCGGAGUUCUGAUGGGAUCCGGUGCUUUAGUGCUGGUAUGAUCGCAUCCGACAUACCGUGCGUUCUCCUCCCCUUUAUGCCCGCGCCUCCGUGUACGGCCCGCCCAUAGCUCCUUCGACGGCGCCGCCUAGGAACGCGGAGAAAAUAUGACAAAGGAACGGCCAAAAAUAAAAAGAAAGACCUUUCUUUUGAAAAAACAAACAAAAAAAAGGAAUGCAACACGAGGACUUCCCAGGAGGUCACCCAUCCUAGUACUACUCUCGCCCAAGCACGCUUAACUUCGCAGUUCUGAUGGGAUCCGGUGCUUUAGUGCUGGUAUGAUCGCAUCCGACAUACCGUGCGUUCUCCUCCCCUUUAUGCCCGCGCCUCCGUGUACGGCCCGCCCAUAGCUCCUUCGACGGCGCCGCCUAGGAACGCGGAGAAAAUAUGACAAAGGAACGGCCAAAAAUAAAAAGAAAGACCUUUCUUUUGAAAAAACAAACGGCUCCGUGUACGGCCCGCCCAUAGCUCCUUCGACGGCGCCGCCUAGGAACGCGGAGAAAAUAUGACAAAGGAACGGCCAAAAAUAAAAAGAAAGACCUUUCUUUUGAAAAAACAAACAAAAAAAAGGAAUGCAACACGAGGACUUCCCAGGAGGUCACCCAUCCUAGUACUACUCUCGCCCAAGCACGCUUAACUUCGGAGUUCUGAUGGGAUCCGGUGCUUUAGUGCUGGUAUGAUCGCAUCCGACAUACCGUGCGUUCUCCUCCCCUUUAUGCCCGCGCCUCCGUGUACGGCCCGCCCAUAGCUCCUUCGACGGCGCCGCCUAGGAACGCGGAGAAAAUAUGACAAAGGAACGGCCAAAAAUAAAAAGAAAGACCUUUCUUUUGAAAAAACAAACAAAUAAAAGGAAUGCAACACGAGGACUUCCCAGGAGGUCACCCAUCCUAGUACUACUCUCGCCCAAGCACGCUUAACUUCGGAGUUCUGAUGGGAUCCGGUGCUUUAGUGCUGGUAUGAUCGCAUCCGACAUACCGUGUGUCGACGAAAGCUGGUCGGCAGUCUACCUUGGGGUAUACCCACGGUAGUAGUUUAUCGGUAGACGGUGCGCAAACUACGAACUCGAUGGUGACGCAAGACACGGACAAGCUUUUUAUCCAGGUUCGGCCGCCGAGUUGGCGUAAUACCUACGUCCUGCGUCUGGUUGUAUUGGAUUGUGUUUAGAGAUAAUCUACCCUAGGGGGUCCCCUUGCCCCUCCUUAUAUAGUCUGGAGGGCAGGGUUACAGAUCUAGAAACUAAUCCUAGCCGGUUACAAUUGCCAUAGAUAAUUCGAUAUCAAUUCCUAUUCUAACCGACUAGAAUCCUGCUUGAUCUCCACGUCCUGUUUCCUUGCGCGAAACUCGGGCUAUCGGAUCAAGCCUUGAACUCGUCUCGUAGUGGGCCAAGCUUCCUAGCUGAAGUCUAGCCGUAAGGGUAUAGGGGUUUAUACCCCCACAGCUAGUCCCCGAGCGCCAUGUAUUGUGACGCAACACUCCGUCUUGAGCUUCUUCGAUCAGCGUGGUCUGUCGUCUUCAAUGAGCGGGGAAAUCGCCCAAACGGUUCAUUGAUCAACGUUGUCAUCGAAGAAGCAGGUUGUUCGAAGAAUGCAUGGUGCUCUAAAAAAAAUUUCUUUCCUGGUGAAGUGUGCCCACUUUGCCUUUCUGAAAGGUAGAAGCAACAAAAAAGCAAGCAAAUUCACCGCUAGGUGAAGUGUGCCCACUUAGUCCCCGAGCCUGGUAGUAGGUGUCGUAGGCACGUGGUGCCAGGGUCAAAAGAAAAUUCCCCAAAGUAGUUUUGGGACUGAGAUGCAUCGUACCGAUGUAGUCCCCGAGCUUGCUGGAAGGCGAAGUAUGAGCCUUGUAGCAAGGUCUAAAAAAUUGAAUUUACCAGUCCCCGAGCAUGUCAUGCUCGUCUGCAAUCGAAAAGACCAAUCGACCAGUCCCCAGGCACUUAGUGUGCUGCCUGGAAUUACAUGUUACUAUACUGUACGACCAGUCCCCGAGCAUCGAGUGCUCAGUGGUCGGUGCAUGCUUUAAAGCUUUGAGCUGAUAGACUGAGCGACCAGUCCCCGAGCGUCGAGUGCUCGGUGGUCGGUGAAGUCUUUGAAGUUCCGAGCUGAUAAACUGGGCGACCAGUCCCCGAGCGUCGAGUGCUCGGUGGUCGGUGCAGUCUUUGAAGUUCCGAGCUAAUAAACUGGGCGACCAGUCCCCGAGCGUCGAGUGCUCGGUGGUCGGUGCAGUCUUUGAAGUUCCGAGCUAAUAAACUGGGCGACCAGUCCCCGAGCGUCGAGUGCUCGGUGGUCGGUGCAGUCCCCGGAUUGCUGACUCACUGGCGUAUGUGUCUUCUUACUUUUGAAAAGGUCUUUCAAAUUUAAAGUUGACGUGACGGGGUCUCCUGACGAUAUGUCAGACGGAUGCAUGAAAAGCUGUGCCUGGCAACUGUACAACCGCUCUUUGCNNNNNNNNNNNNNNNNNNNNNNNNNNNNNNNNNNNNNNNNNNNNNNNNNNNNNNNNNNNNNNNNNNNNNNNNNNNNNNNNNNNNNNNNNNNNNNNNNNNNCGUUCUCCUCCCCUUUAUGCCCGCGCCUCCGUGUCCGUAAAGGGCAUAGCUCCUUCGACGGCGCCGCCGUAGGAACGCUGAGAAGAUAUGACAAAGGAACGGCCAAAAAUAAAAAGAAAGACCUUUCUUUUGAAAAAACAAACAAAAAAAAGGAAUGCAACACGAGGACUUCCCAGGAGGUCACCCAUCCUAGUACUACUCUCGCCCAAGCACGCUUAACUUCGGAGUUCUGAUGGGAUCCGGUGCUUUAGUGCUGGUAUGAUCGCAUCCGACAUACCGUGCGUUCUCCUCCCCUUUAUGCCCGCGCCUCCGUGUACGGCCGGCCCAUAGCUCCUUCGACGGCGCCGCCUAGGAACGCGGAGAAAAUAUGACAAAGGAAUUUUUUUAAAUAAAAAGAAAGACCUUUCUUUUGAAAAAACAAACGAAAAAAAGGAAUGCAACACGAGGACUUCCCAGGAGGUCACCCAUCCUAGUACUACUCUCGCCCAAGCACGCUUAACUUCGGAGUUCUGAUGGGAUCCGGUGCUUUAGUGCUGGUAUGAUCGCAUCCGACAUACCGUGCGUUCUCCUCCCCUUUAUGCCCGCGCCUCCGUGUACGGCCCGCCCAUAGCUCCUUCGACGGCGCCGCCUAAGAACGCGGAAAAAAUAUGACAAAGGAACGGCCAAAAAUAAAAAAAAAAAACCUUUCUUUUGAAAAAANNNNNNNNNNNNNNNNNNNNNNNNNNNNNNNNNNNNNNNNNNNNNNNNNNNNNNNNNNNNNNNNNNNNNNNNNNNNNNNNNNNNNNNNNNNNNNNNNNNNAAAAGGAAUGCAACACGAGGACUUCCCAGGAGGUCACCCAUCCUAGUACUACUCUCGCCCAAGCACGCUUAACUUCGGAGUUCUGAUGGGAUCCGGUGCUUUAGUGCUGGUAUGAUCGCAUCCGACAUACCGUGCGUUCUCCUCCCCUUUAUGCCCGCGCCUCCGUGUUACGGCCCGCCCAUAGCUCCUUCGACGGCGCCGCCUAGGAACGCGGAGAAAAUAUGACAAAGGAACGGCCAAAAAUCAAAAGAAAGACCUUUCUUUUGAAAAAACACACGCCUCCGUGUACGGCCCGCCCAUAGCUCCUUCGACGGCGCCGCCUAGGAACGCGGAGAAAAUAUGACAAAGGAACGGCCAAAAAUAAAAAGAAAGACCUUUCUUUUGAAAAAACAAACAAAUAAAAGGAAUGCAACACGAGGACUUCCCAGGAGGUCACCCAUCCUAGUACUACUCUCGCCCAAGCACGCUUAACUUCGGAGUUCUGAUGGGAUCCGGUGCUUUAGUGCUGGUAUGAUCGCAUCCGACAUACCGUGCGUUCUCCUCCCCUUUAUGCCCGCGCCUCCGUGUACGGCCCGCCCAUAGCUCCUUCGACGGCGCCGCCUAGGAACGCGGAGAAAAUAUGACAAAGGAACGGCCAAAAAUAAAAAGAAAGACCUUUCUUUUGAAAAAACAAACAAAUAAAAGGAAUGCAACACGAGGACUUCCCAGGAGGUCACCCAUCCUAGUACUACUCUCGCCCAAGCACGCUUAACUUCGGAGUUCUGAUGGGAUCCGGUGCUUUAGUGCUGGUAUGAUCGCAUCCGACAUACCGUGCGUUCUCCUCCCCUUUAUGCCCGCGCCUCCGUGUACGGCCCGCCCAUAGCUCCUUCGACGGCGCCGCCUAGGAACGCGGAGAAAAUAUGACAAAGGAACGGCCAAAAAUAAAAAGAAAGACCUUUCUUUUGAAAAAACAAACGCCUCCGUGUACGGCCCGCCCAUAGCUCCUUCGACGGCGCCGCCUAGGAACGCGGAGAAAAUAUGACAAAGGAACGGCCAAAAAUAAAAAGAAAGACCUUUCUUUUGAAAAAACAAACAAAAAAAAGGAAUGCAACACGAGGACUUCCCAGGAGGUCACCCAUCCUAGUACUACUCUCGCCCAAGCACGCUUAACUUCGGAGUUCUGAUGGGAUCCGGUGCUUUAGUGCUGGUAUGAUCGCAUCCGACAUACCGUGCGUUCUCCUCCCCUUUAUGCCCGCGCCUCCGUGUACGGCCCGCCCAUAGCUCCUUCGACGGCGCCGCCUAGGAACGCGGAGAAAAUAUGACAAAGGAACGGCCAAAAAUAAAAAGAAAGACCUUUCUUUUGAAAAAACAAACAAAUAAAAGGAAUGCAACACGAGGACUUCCCAGGAGGUCACCCAUCCUAGUACUACUCUCGCCCAAGCACGCUUAACUUCGGAGUUCUGAUGGGAUCCGGUGCUUUAGUGCUGGUAUGAUCGCAUCCGACAUACCGUGCGUUCUCCUCCCCUUUAUGCCCGCGCCUCCGUGUACGGCCCGCCCAUAGCUCCUUCGACGGCGCCGCCUAGGAACGCGGAGAAAAUAUGACAAAGGAACGGCCAAAAAUAAAAAGAAAGACCUUUCUUUUGAAAAAACAAACGCCUCCGUGUACGGCCCGCCCAUAGCUCCUUCGACGGCGCCGCCUAGGAACGCGGAGAAAAUAUGACAAAGGAACGGCCAAAAAUAAAAAGAAAGACCUUUCUUUUGAAAAAACAAACAAAAAAAAGGAAUGCAACACGAGGACUUCCCAGGAGGUCACCCAUCCUAGUACUACUCUCGCCCAAGCACGCUUAACUUCGGAGUUCUGAUGGGAUCCGGUGCUUUAGUGCUGGUAUGAUCGCAUCCGACAUACCGUGCGUUCUCCUCCCCUUUAUGCCCGCGCCUCCGUGUACGGCCCGCCCAUAGCUCCUUCGACGGCGCCGCCUAGGAACGCGGAGAAAAUAUGACAAAGGAACGGCCAAAAAUAAAAAGAAAGACCUUUCUUUUGAAAAAACAAACAAAUAAAAGGAAUGCAACACGAGGACUUCCCAGGAGGUCACCCAUCCUAGUACUACUCUCGCCCAAGCACGCUUAACUUCGGAGUUCUGAUGGGAUCCGGUGCUUUAGUGCUGGUAUGAUCGCAUCCGACAUACCGUGCGUUCUCCUCCCCUUUAUGCCCGCGCCUCCGUGUACGGCCCGCCCAUAGCUCCUUCGACGGCGCCGCCUAGGAACGCGGAGAAAAUAUGACAAAGGAACGGCCAAAAAUAAAAAGAAAGACCUUUCUUUUGAAAAAACAAACAAAAAAAAGGAAUGCAACACGAGGACUUCCCAGGAGGUCACCCAUCCUAGUACUACUCUCGCCCAAGCACGCUUAACUUCGGAGUUCUGAUGGGAUCCGGUGCUUUAGUGCUGGUAUGAUCGCAUCCGACAUACCGUGCGUUCUCCUCCCCUUUAUGCCCGCGCCUCCGGGUACGGUCCUCCCAUAGCUCCGUCAACGGCCCGCCUAGGAACGCGGAGAAAAUAUGACAAAGGAACGGCCAAAAAUAAAAAGAAAGCCCUUUCUUUUGAAAAGACAACCGAAUAAAAGGAAUGCCACGCGAGGACUUCCCAGGAGGUCACCCAUCAUAGUACUACUCUCGCCCAAGCACGCUUAACUUCGGAGUUCUGAUGGGAUCCGGUGCUUUAGUGCUGGUAUGAUCGCAUCCGACAUACCGCGCGUUCUCCUCCCCUUAAGGCCCGCGCCUCCGUGUACGGCCCGCCCAUAGCUCCUUAGACGGCACCUCCUAGGAACGCGGAGAAAAUAUGACAAAGGAACGGCCAAAAAUAAAAAGAAAGACCUUUCUUUUGAAAAAACAAACGCCUCCGUGUACGGCCCGCCCAUAGCUCCUUCGACGGCGCCGCCUAGGAACGCGGAGAAAAUAUGACAAAGGAACGGCCAAAAAUAAAAAGAAAGACCUUUCUUUUGAAAAAACAAACAAAAAAAAGGAAUGCAACACGAGGACUUCCCAGGAGGUCACCCAUCCUAGUACUACUCUCGCCCAAGCACGCUUAACUUCGGAGUUCUGAUGGGAUCCGGUGCUUUAGUGCUGGUAUGAUCGCAUCCGACAUACCGUGCGUUCUCCUCCCCUUUAUGCCCGCGCCUCCGUGUACGGCCCGCCCAUAGCUCCUUCGACGGCGCCGCCUAGGAACGCGGAGAAAAUAUGACAAAGGAACGGCCAAAAAUAAAAAGAAAGACCUUUCUUUUGAAAAAACAAACGCCUCCGCGUACGGCCCGCCCAUAGCUCCUUCGACGGCGCCGCCUAGGAACGCGGAGAAAAUAUGACAAAGGAACGGCCAAAAAUAAAAAGAAAGACCUUUCUUUUGAAAAAACAAACAAAAAAAAGGAAUGCAACACGAGGACUUCCCAGGAGGUCACCCAUCCUAGUACUACUCUCGCCCAAGCACGCUUAACUUCGGAGUUCUGAUGGGAUCCGGUGCUUUAGUGCUGGUAUGAUCGCAUCCGACAUACCGUGCGUUCUCCUCCCCUUUAUGCCCGCGCCUCCGUGUACGGCCCGCCCAUAGCUCCUUCGACGGCGCCGCCUAGGAACGCGGAGAAAAUAUGACAAAGGAACGGCCAAAAAUAAAAAGAAAGACCUUUCUUUUGAAAAAACAAACAAAUAAAAGGAAUGCAACACGAGGACUUCCCAGGAGGUCACCCAUCCUAGUACUACUCUCGCCCAAGCACGCUUAACUUCGGAGUUCUGAUGGGAUCCGGUGCUUUAGUGCUGGUAUGAUCGCAUCCGACAUACCGUGCGUUCUCCUCCCCUUUAUGCCCGCGCCUCCGUGUACGGCCCGCCCAUAGCUCCUUCGACGGCGCCGCCUAGGAACGCGGAGAAAAUAUGACAAAGGAACGGCCAAAAAUAAAAAGAAAGACCUUUCUUUUGAAAAAACAAACAAAUAAAAGGAAUGCAACACGAGGACUUCCCAGGAGGUCACCCAUCCUAGUACUACUCUCGCCCAAGCACGCUUAACUUCGGAGUUCUGAUGGGAUCCGGUGCUUUAGUGCUGGUAUGAUCGCAUCCGACAUACCGUGCGUUCUCCUCCCCUUUAUGCCCGCGCCUCCGUGUACGGCCCGCCCAUAGCUCCUUCGACGGCGCCGCCUAGGAACGCGGAGAAAAUAUGACAAAGGAACGGCCAAAAAUAAAAAGAAAGACCUUUCUUUUGAAAAAACAAACGCCUCCGUGUACGGCCCGCCCAUAGCUCCUUCGACGGCGCCGCCUAGGAACGCGGAGAAAAUAUGACAAAGGAACGGCCAAAAAUAAAAAGAAAGACCUUUCUUUUGAAAAAACAAACAAAAAAAAGGAAUGCAACACGAGGACUUCCCAGGAGGUCACCCAUCCUAGUACUACUCUCGCCCAAGCACGCUUAACUUCGGAGUUCUGAUGGGAUCCGGUGCUUUAGUGCUGGUAUGAUCGCAUCCGACAUACCGUGCGUUCUCCUCCCCUUUAUGCCCGCGCCUCCGUGUACGGCCCGCCCAUAGCUCCUUCGACGGCGCCGCCUAGGAACGCGGAGAAAAUAUGACAAAGGAACGGCCAAAAAUAAAAAGAAAGACCUUUCUUUUGAAAAAACAAACAAAUAAAAGGAAUGCAACACGAGGACUUCCCAGGAGGUCACCCAUCCUAGUACUACUCUCGCCCAAGCACGCUUAACUUCGGAGUUCUGAUGGGAUCCGGUGCUUUAGUGCUGGUAUGAUCGCAUCCGACAUACCGUGCGUUCUCCUCCCCUUUAUACCCGCGCCUCCGUGUACGGCCCGCCCAUAGCUCCUUCGACGGCGCCGCCUAGGAACGCGGAGAAAAUAUGACAAAGGAACGGCCAAAAAUAAAAAGAAAGACCUUUCUUUUGAAAAAACAAACAAAUAAAAGGAAUGCAACACGAGGACUUCCCAGGAGGUCACCCAUCCUAGUACUACUCUCGCCCAAGCACGCUUAACUUCGGAGUUCUGAUGGGAUCCGGUGCUUUAGUGCUGGUAUGAUCGCAUCCGACAUACCGUGCGUUCUCCUCCCCUUUAUGCCCGCGCCUCCGUGUACGGCCCGCCCAUAGCUCCUUCGACGGCGCCGCCUAGGAACGCGGAGAAAAUAUGACAAAGGAACGGCCAAAAAUAAAAAGAAAGACCUUUCUUUUGAAAAAACAAACGCCUCCGUGUACGGCCCGCCCAUAGCUCCUUCGACGGCGCCGCCUAGGAACGCGGAGAAAAUAUGACAAAGGAACGGCCAAAAAUAAAAAGAAAGACCUUUCUUUUGAAAAAACAAACAAAAAAAAGGAAUGCAACACGAGGACUUCCCAGGAGGUCACCCAUCCUAGUACUACUCUCGCCCAAGCACGCUUAACUUCGGAGUUCUGAUGGGAUCCGGUGCUUUAGUGCUGGUAUGAUCGCAUCCGACAUACCGUGCGUUCUCCUCCCCUUUAUACCCGCGCCUCCGUGUACGGCCCGCCCAUAGCUCCUUCGACGGCGCCGCCUAGGAACGCGGAGAAAAUAUGACAAAGGAACGGCCAAAAAUAAAAAGAAAGACCUUUCUUUUGAAAAAACAAGCAAAAAAAAGGAAUGCAACACGAGGACUUCCCAGGAGGUCACCCAUCCUAGUACUACUCUCGCCCAAGCACGCUUAACUUCGGAGUUCUGAUGGGAUCCGGUGCUUUAGUGCUGGUAUGAUCGCAUCCGACAUACCGUGCGUUCUCCUCCCCUUUAUGCCCGCGCCUCCGUGUACGGCCCGCCCAUAGCUCCUUCGACAGCGCCGCCUAGGAACGCGGAGAAAAUAUGACAAAGGAACGGCAAAAAAUAAAAAGAAAGACCUUUCUUUUGAAAAAACAAACAAAAAAAAGGAAUGCAACACGCGGACUUCCCAGGAGGUCACCCAUCCUAGUACUACUCUCGCCUAAGCACGCUUAACUUCGGAGUNN
rnacentral:lncRNA from 1 species